rnacentral:rRNA from 1 species
UGGGGAAUUUUGGACAAUGGGGGCAACCCUGAUCCAGCCAUGCCGCGUGCGGGAAGAAGGCCUUCGGGUUGUAAACCGCUUUUAGUCGGGAAGAAAAGGCCAAGCCUAAUACGUUUGGUUUUUGACGGUACCGGCGGAAUAAGCACCGGCUAACUACGUGCCAGCAGCCGCGGUAAUACGUAGGGUGCGAGCGUUAAUCGGAAUUACUGGGCGUAAAGCGUGCGCAGGCGGUUCGCUGUGUCCGAUGUGAAAGCCCCGGGCUUAACCUGGGAAUGGCAUUGGAAACUGGCGGGCUUGAGUGUGGCAGAGGGGGGUGGAAUUCCGCGUGUAGCAGUGAAAUGCGUAGAGAUGCGGAGGAACACCGAUGGCGAAGGCAGCCCCCUGGGCUAACACUGACGCUCAGGCACGAAAGCGUGGGGAGCAAACAG